AGAGUUUGAUCCUGGCUCAGGACGAACGCUGGCGGCGUGCCUAACACAUGCAAGUCAGGGAGAAAAAGGUAGCAAUAUCUUGAGUAAACCGGCGAACGGGUGAGUAUAACGUAGGCAACCUUCCUCGUGAACGGGGAUAACUCCGGGAAACCGGAAUUAAUACCCGAUGACAUCCAGGGGGAGCAUUUUCUCUGGAUCAAAGGCCCGCAAGGGCGUCACGAGAUGGGCCUGCGCCCCAUUAGAUAGUUGGCGGGGUAAAAGCCCACCAAGUCAACGAUGGGUAGCUGGUCUGAGAGGACGACCAGCCACACUGGAACUGAGACACGGUCCAGACUUCUACGGAAGGCAGCAGUGAGGAAUAUUGCUCAAUGGGCGAAAGCCUGAAGCAGCGACGCCGCGUGAGGGAUGAAAUCCGUUAGGAUGUAAACCUCUUUUAUAGGGGAAGAAAAGCCCGGUUACCGGGUGUGACUGUACCCUAUGAAUAAGCACCGGCCAACUACGUGCCAGCAGCCGCGGUAAUACGUAGGGUGCGAGCGUUGUUCGGAAUUACUGGGUGUAAAGGGUCCGCAGGCGGGCAAGCAAGUCGGUGGUGAAAGUUCAUGGCUCAACUGUGAAAUUGCCUUCGAUACUGCUUGUCUUGAGUUCGAGAGAGGAUGAUGGAAUUCAUGGUGUAGCAGUGAAAUGCGUAGAGAUCAUGAAGAACACCAGUUGCGAAGGCGGUCAUCUGGCUCGAUACUGACGCUCAGGGACGAAAGCGUGGGUAGCAAACAGGAUUAGAUACCCUGGUAGUCC
rnacentral:rRNA from 1 species